rnacentral:rRNA from 1 species
CUCAUACUAGGGAAUAGCCCGAAGAAAUUUGGAUUAAUGCCCUAUAGUAUCUUUUUAAGGCAUCUUAUUAAGAUUAAAGGUUACGGUAUGAGAUGAGUAUGCGUUCUAUUAGCUAGUAGGUGUGGUAACGGCACACCUAGGCUACGAUAGAUAGGGGCCCUGAGAGGGGGAUCCCCCACACUGGUACUGAGACACGGACCAGACUCCUACGGGAGGCAGCAGUAAGGAAUAUUGGUCAAUGGACGAAAGUCUGAACCAGCCAUGCCGCGUGCAGGAUGACUGCCCUAUGGGUUGUAAACUGCUUUUAUAUAGGAAGAAAAACUUUCUCGUGAGAAAG